UACGGAGGGUCCAAGCGUUAUCCGGAAUCAUUGGGUUUAAAGGGUCCGUAGGCGGUUUUGUAAGUCAGUGGUGAAAGCCCAUCGCUCAACGGUGGAACGGCCAUUGAUACUGCAAGACUUGAAUUAUUAGGAAGCAACUAGAAUAUGUAGUGUAGCGGUGAAAUGCUUAGAGAUUACAUGGAAUACCAAUUGCGAAGGCAGGUUGCUACUAAUGGAUUGACGCUGAUGGACGAAAGCGUGGGGAGCGAACAGG
rnacentral:rRNA from 1 species